rnacentral:miRNA from 1 species
UCCCUGAGACCAUAAUUUUGAU